rnacentral:sRNA from 1 species
UUCCGAUAAGCAUGUCGUUAACAGUGA